GAUGAACGCUGGCGGCGCGCCUAAUACAUGCAAGUCGAGCGAACGGACGAGAAGCUUGCUUCUCUGAUGUUAGCGGCGGACGGGUGAGUAACACGUGGAUAACCUACCUAUAAGACUGGGAUAACUUCGGGAAACCGGAGCUAAUACCGGAUAAUAUUUUGAACCGCAUGGUUCAAAAGUGAAAGACGGUCCUGCUGUCACUUAUAGAUGGAUCCGCGCUGCAUUAGCUAGUUGGUAAGGUAACGGCUUACCAAGGCAACGAUGCAUAGCCGACCUGAGAGGGUGAUCGGCCACACUGGAACUGAGACACGGUCCAGACUCCUACGGGAGGCAGCAGUAGGGAAUCUUCCGCAAUGGGCGAAAGCCUGACGGAGCAACGCCGCGUGAGUGAUGAAGGUCUUCGGAUCGUAAAACUCUGUUAUUAGGGAAGAACAUAUGUGUAAGUAACUGUGCACAUCUUGACGGUACCUAAUCAGAAAGCCACGGCUAACUACGUG
rnacentral:rRNA from 1 species